UGAAAUUCCAUCUUCCUGAGGCCAGUUGAAGUGGAUGAUGUCUUGGUAACAGAGGGUGGGACAGGAUUAGAGCCCAGACGUGGAACAUUUCAGGCCUGUGUCUGUCUGGUAUGGAUAAGACUUUCCAGAGCCUUAAGGCUGGAACAGAGAAGCAAAGCCUUCACCAGAGCCAAUCUUGAUGAUGAGAAAUUACAAAUGAGGGGAAAACUUCCCAUAGAACAUCAGAUGUUUUGACCAAUGUCAUGAACACAAUUUCUGCUACUUAAAGAGGAAGGUGAAGAAACUGAGCCACAGACAGGUUAAGAGUCUUGCUUCAAGUCACACACCAGUGUCAGAGUUUGGACUGCUUGUUGUGUAACCUCAAGCUGCCACUAAGAUGGAAACUUUCCCACUCAGAGAUGCUCCUGGAAGAGAAGGACAAAACAUCAUCAGAAAGGCACCUUUUGGAGCAGCUUGAUUGAAAGGACAAGAGGGGGCUUUAGAAGUCUCCUGAGAGCACUGACAUCUGGGAUUUCUGAAACUGAAUUAGUUGAACCUGAGAGCAACUCAAGAGGAAAGGUCACACAGGUUUGGGUGAGAAAUUCAUGAUUUGCAAAUGUCAGCUAAGAUUUGGAUAAGCAUCUGGCUUUUGGUUAUAUAUCUGAAAAUGAAUAAACACUGAAAUCUGGACGAUUCAUA